rfam:Ovis aries breed Texel chromosome 3, whole genome shotgun sequence.
UCCCUGAUGGCUCAGCGGCUAAAGAAUCUGCCUGCAAUGCAGGAGACACAGGUUCGACCCCUGGGUGGGGAA